AAGAUGUAGCGCUAUAAAGUGGGCUGCUUAUCUUUCGAAUAAUAACUGCUUUUCAAUCUCUUCAUCACAUCUAUCCAUCGUUGGACUCCCCGGACGUCCUUUCCACUCCGAGUUCAAAUGAAUGGUUUCCUCUGCAGUCGAUUGCCAGAUAUUUGCAAGGUCAAGAGUUGAAGUCCCAUGAAAGACAGAUCCAAGAAACAGACCGUGGGACUGAAGAGAGCAUCGAAAAUAGCUUUUUCUCUGAGAUGAGGCAAAGCAAAAACAGAGAGGUUGGUUAAACAAGUGCUUUUCAUUUUUCUAUUGGGAGCAAAGGCAAAAAGACUCUUCAUAAUCCCCAGGUACCGUCGUACAACCGGCCACGAGAAAAUCAAGCUUUUUCCGGAUGAAUGCCUGGAAGAAGCCAAAAACCUUCUCCUUUGGGCAAGGGAAGUUCUAGUCCAAUUUGGUUGCACUGGCUCCCAUUAGGGAUUGACCGUGUUAGAGGACAGUCAAACGUUUUAAAAUACAUACUAAGACAAUAAUAAUAAUAAAAUCUGGCUCCCGGGAUUGUCACACACGUUCCGCAGGUAGCGAUGUAAUUUCUCUCUGAAAAGACUAGAUUUAAUCUCAUUGCAAGAAGGUCUUGAAGCAAGCUAUGCAGUAGAAUAGUGUCACAAGAGCAAACAAAGCCCAUAGAAGGGGAAAUAAAAAUAAGAAACCAGAAGGCAUGGCUAAUGUAUGUUUUCCUUCCCUGCUAAACUUCUCUGUUGCCCAACUCUAGUACUUUAGUUGUAUGGAGGCUACCAAGUAUUGGGAUUUCUCUAGUCUGGGCAUCAAUCCACCCCUUGCCCUGGUGCCCUAAUGCCUAAGCAACCUUCUCAAUUUCUGCUCAGGCUCUAAGCUGUUCAGAUACGACAAGCGAUGUGGUUUUGAGAUCAUCCUAGUAAAGAAGAAAGUUUGGAAAUAUUGGAAAAUUAUGUUGAGCUCACAUCAUCACGCAGCCAUUCUCUCAGAAUGCUGCUGAAGAUUUGGACCCAACAUUUAUACCAAAGAGGGCAGAACCAGCUUCAGAAGAGUUUGGAGUCUGUUCACAAGUGACUCACUCACAUACUGCUCCAUUCAGUGGUCUGCGUAUGCAGAAGAAAAUGCUGAGCCUACUUUUAUUUCACCCACCAAAAGUCAAUCCGAAAAGUCUGGGCGCCAGAAAUCUGGAGACAAGAAGGAAGCUUGCAAGCAAUAGUGAGUUGCUUCAUCGGAAAGCUGAAUGUACAUCCUGCCAGUUCCUUAACUUUGCUUCCAUUUUUUUUUUUCCUCCAAGUCACUAUAGACUAGACUAGAGAAGUGUAAUUUUAAAAAUGAUUUGGGACAGGCUUGGUUUUUGAAAUGAUGAUGGUUUUGACUGAUAUAAUGUGUUUACCUGUCAUAUGGUACAAGUCAAGGAUGAACCUGGUGCUCUGGAUGCCAUAUAGAGUUGGAAGUGUUAGGAUUUAGGGAAAAUGUAAUGAAAAGAGAGGGAAAUAGCUGCUAUUAUAUAGAAAAAUAUUAUUACUGAAUUGAAUUAUGCAUUUUGCCUUACCAAUAAAAUCGAGUCUCUCU